rnacentral:rRNA from 1 species
UGGGGAAUAUUGGACAAUGGGGGAAAUCUCUGAUCCAGCCAUGCCGCGUGUGUGAAGAAGGUUUUCGGAUUGUAAAGCACUUUAAGUUGGGAGGAAGGGCAGUAAGUUAAUACCUUGCGUGUUUUGACGUGUAC